rnacentral:pre_miRNA from 1 species
AUUGUACUCCCUCCGUUCGGAAUUACUUGUCUCGAAUAUGGAUGUAUCUAGAACUAAAAUACAUCUAGAUACAUCCAUUUCUACGACAAGUAAUUUCAAACGGAGGGAGUACAAA